rnacentral:rRNA from 1 species
GGUGACGGUAAAGGCGGAAGGGAACCACGCGUACCAGCCGAACACGGCCCGUUAAGCCUUCCAGCGCCGAGUGGUACUUGGACCGAAGGGUCCUGGGAGUAGGACGUUGCCAAGC